rnacentral:rRNA from 1 species
GAUGAACGCUAGCGGGAGGCCUAACACAUGCAAGCCGAGCGGUAUUGUUUCUUCGGAAAUGAGAGAGCGGCGUACGGGUGCGGAACACGUGUGCAACCUGCCUUUAUCUGGGGGAUAGCCUUUCGAAAGGAAGAUUAAUACUCCAUAAUAUAUUGAUUGGCAUCAAUUAAUAUUGAAAGCUCCGGCGGAAAGAGAUGGGCACGCGCAAGAUUGGCUAGUUGGUGAGGUAACGGCUCACCAAGGCGAUGAUCUUUAGGGGGCCUGAGAGGGUGAUCCCCCACACUGGUACUGAGACACGGACCAGACUCCUACGGGAGGCAGCAGUGAGGAAUAUUGGUCAAUGGGUGCAAGCCUGAACCAGCCAUCCCGCGUGAAGGACGACUGCCCUAUGGGUUGUAAACUUCUUUUGUAUAGGGAUAAACCUACCCUCGUGAGGGUAGCUGAAGGUACUAUACGAAUAAGCACCGGCUAACUCCGUGCCAGCCGCCGCGGUAACAC